AUCUGUUUACCUAAAAACAGCCCACCACAAUCCAUGUUUACCAGCUGUGAAAGUGCAGGCCAAAAAUCUUCCUUCACCUGUGGGCCUCUACCCACAUGUAGAUAAGCACUUCAGGAGAAACCUGCCUGUGAUCUGCUAAGAUGCACAGAUUCAACUCUGGCCCAUUGUCAUCCCAACACCUCAUCUGCCAUCAGUUUCGUUUAGUGUCGGUCUAUUGCAAAAGUUCUUAUAAACUUUAAAUGAGACUUUGUGUUAAGCAGGGGUUUCCAAACUUUUCAUUCCACAACAUAUUAAGCCCAGGAUACACAGCAGGAUUUUUGCAAUCCAAUAAGACCUUAUCACACUGUGUGACAAGGAUUGUUUAAACUUCAGCAGUAGACUGUCGAUGAAGACACCUAUUGCAUCUGAAGCUGCGACAUCUGUCAUCAACAUGCGCUAGUGGUAAACAAAUACAGGUAUGCAUCUAUAUAAACAUUCUCAAUAUCACCUUUGGUUUGCUCAGAGUUUGUUCAGAUGAUUUUUAAAACUAAAUGUUGUGAAAAUGCAAGGUGUGUUACACAAUUUCAAUGGAUGGCGUGGGGUCAAAAACUAUCAAAAGUUUCAAGCUUAGAUAUAUAACUGUUGACAAACACACUUAAUGUGAGUCACACCCAGUAAUUAUAAUAAGCAGGAAUUGCAGUAAGCAGGGUCACCUUAAGAUAAUCAGCUUGUUGGCAAUUGUUUUAUUUAAUUAAAUGUAUAACUUUUUUCAUUUCAGACUGAUAAAACAGUCAGAGGGGCAGUGGCUGUUGGCAAUGAUGUUCUUGUGUGUUUUGUAU